GCUGGCGGGGCGUUUGCAGUGGCCCUUGUGAACUAUGUUUCUGCCGUUACCAGUGUUGGACCCGCCUUCCUCUUUUCCUAGAAAAGGCGCAGAUGCGUGGUCGCAAACUGAUUUCCAAGUCCGUUGUCUGAUGCUGCGAGACACUAUCCGUUUGUUACAGCGAAUUGGGGGCCGAUGACGCUGGAGGUGGAAGAAGCCGCGGUUCUGUUUCUUAAUGGCGAAUUAGCCUGCGGACGUCCUGUCAUUCCCUUGCCUUUUAGCGUCCCAACUUAGCAAAACUCCGCGUUUAGGGUGUUCUGAGUAGGCUUUGUCUACCCUGAAACGCUUUGUGUCGACAUUCCACCAGGUCUGUUCCACGGUCCAAACUUCUCUACCUUUUUUGACCCUCUAGAAUUGUGUUACGAUUAGUAGUAUAUUGUGUCGAGAGUCUGGGAUCUUUGAUGUUAGUUAUAUUCCCUGGCUGUUUAUGCCAAAGGGAAAUCCAAAUAGUAAUUUAUUACGUACAUUACGUAUAAUUCAAAUUAAAAUUUUGUAAGAACAGUUGCCAACCACGCUACCCUACAUGCCUGCUGUGUAUCUUCUCGGCGUCCCUCGAUUCUGUUUUGCUUCCCAAAGUACUUGAGCCCUUUCCGUCAUAAAAAGUAAAGAUGAAAAAUAUAUUUGGAGCAUGAUACUUACAUGCGGAAGUCUUAACAGGACAUAAAUUGUGUGCUUUUGGCUGCUUUCAUUAGAUUUUUAAUUUUUUCCUUUUACCACCACUGAAAAAAAUACAAAUACAGUGGAUUAAGGUUAAAUUAAAAAGCACUAGUAGAAAUUAAAAGAUUGCAAGACUACAAAAAAAUAAACUGGCAUUUCUGGUGUAAGCAAAUGGACAGCUCAAUAGAACAAAAGCCCAGAAACAUACCUCAAAUAGGCUGUAUUUUGUAAAAGACAUGUAACAUAUAUGGGGAAAGGACAGAUUAUUCAAAUGAGUGCUAUUGGGAGGAUUAGUUAACCAUUUGGGGAAAAAUACAUUUAAGCAUUUAAGCUCCCAAUUGACAUAAUAUUCAUUCCAGGUGAAUUAAAAGAUUAAAUAAAUAAGAUAAAAAGCU
ensembl:lncRNA TTC32-DT TTC32 divergent transcript